UUUCAAAGGUAGGUGAAAUGACUAUCAUAUCGUAUGACUAUCAUCAAGGACUUCAACCUUCUGAAUCUCUUGUCUGUUCCAACCCUAUAACUUCAGACCAACUUUUAUUUUCUCAAGCUUCUCCAAAACAGCAUUUAUAUCAAGCUUUACAUGCGACAGGCCUGCUAAAUGCAGGCUGGACUCCUCAAAGGACUCUUGAACUGUUGAACACCCCUUUCAACCUCACCAGACCUGCUUUUGCAUCAAAAGCCAACCUACCUUCUACAGCAGCCGACGCCGUCGCAGCAGCUCUUCCGAAUCAAACUACAACCACCACCUCCAUUAUUCCUCCUAUCUUUGAAUCAUCUGCAACAUCUUCUCUCACACCAAACGACUCCAAUCAACAAUCUGACGUUCAAUUACCUAUCUCUGCUGACAGUAACUCAUUUCAGCCUUCUAUUACUGUAAACUGUAAUGAUUUAAAUAUUGAAACUAAUCAUUCUUUGUCUUUAUCUACUAAUGUAAAUUUAUCUUUAGAAAUUGAAACUGUUUUGCAACAUUUUAAACAACAUGGCCCAUUACCUUUAUCACCAAACUUCAAAAAAUUACAAACCUAUUAUUA